rnacentral:rRNA from 1 species
GACGAACGCUGGCGGCGUGCUUAAUACAUGCAAGUCAACUUGACUUUAGAUAGCAAUAUCGAAAAGUAGGGUGGCGCACGGGUGCGUAACGCGUAGGUAAUCUGCCCUGAGGUCUGACAUAACCCGUCGAAAGGCGGGCUAACAUCAGAUGAUAUAUAGUCACGACAUCGUGGAAAUAUCAAAUCUUCGGAGCCUUGGGAUGAGCCUGCGUCUGAUUAGGUAGUUGGCGGAGUAAUAGCCCACCAAGCCUACGAUCAGUAGCUGGUCUGAGAGGAUGAUCAGCCACACUGGAACUGAGACACGGUCCAGACUCCUACGGGAGGCAGCAGUAAGGAAUAUUGCUCAAUGGGGGAAACCCUGAAGCAGCAACGCCGCGUGAAGGAUGAAAUACUUUUGAUGUAAACUUCUGUAAGAUGGGAAAAAUAUUCUCCUCGGGAGAAUUGAUUGUACCAUCAGAGUAAGCCCCGGCUAACUACGUGCCAGCA